GAUGAACGCUGGCGGCGUGCCUAAUACAUGCAAGUCGAGCGAACAGACGAGGAGCUUGCUCCUCUGACGUUAGCGGCGGACGGGUGAGUAACACGUGGAUAACCUACCUAUAAGACUGGGAUAACUUCGGGAAACCGGAGCUAAUACCGGAUAAUAUAUUGAACCACAUGGUUCAAUAGUGAAAGACGGUUUUGCUGUCACUUAUAGAUGGAUCCGCGCCGCAUUAGCUAGUUGGUAAGGUAACGGCUUACCAAGGCAACGAUGCGUAGCCGACCUGAGAGGGUGAUCGGCCACACUGGAACUGAGACACGGUCCAGACUCCUACGGGAGGCAGCAGUAGGGAAUCUUCCGCAAUGGGCGAAAGCUUGACGGAGCAACGCCGCGUGAGUGGUGAAGGUCUUCGGAUCGUAAAACUCUGUUAUUAGGGAAGAACAAAUGUGUAAGUAACUAUGCACGUCUUGACGGUACCUAAUCAGAAAGCCACGGCUAACUACGUG
rnacentral:rRNA from 1 species